rnacentral:lncRNA from 1 species
AGCAGGGAUCUGUCGUAUCGUAUUUUUGAAUCAAGUUGGUUGCCUGAACUCAUCGUAUUUGUUUUCUGAAAUGCAUUGACAACCUGUCAUCGCUAAAAGUGGAAGCACUGCUCAAACCACCUUGAAAAAAAGCAAGGAACCUGAAGAUGGUCAAACCACCCUGGAAAAAAAAAGCUCAAGGGAACCAGAAGAUAGAUUCCAGGUUCAUUCUCUUCGGAACACUUUGAUUUAGCCUUUAUUCUUCCUGCGUCCACGCAAGAGACACUCAGACCAAAUUGU